AUUGAACGCUGGCGGCAGGCCUAACACAUGCAAGUCGAACGAGUGGCGGACGGGUGAGUAAUGUCUGGGAAACUGCCUGAUGGAGGGGGAUAACUACUGGAAACGGUAGCUAAUACCGCAUACCAUCGGAUGUGCCCCGAUGGGAUUAGCUAGUAGGUGGGGUAAUGGCUCACCUAGGCGACGAUCCCUAGCUGGUCUGAGGGGAUGAAAAGGCACACUGGAGCAGAGGAAGAGGGCAGACUCCUGCGGGAGGCAGCGGGGUGGAGUAUUGCACAAUGGGGACAAGCCUGAUGCAGCCAUGCCGCGUGAAAAGAGAAGGCCUUCGGGUUGUAGAGCACUUUCGGCGGGGGGGCGUUACCCGCAGAAGAAGCACCGGCUAACUCCGUGCCAGCAGCCGCGGUAAUAC
rnacentral:rRNA from 1 species